rnacentral:lncRNA from 1 species
CUUUCCUUCCGCUUCUCCAGAAACCGAGCCAGAGAUGCUUUCCUAGCCUGUGGAACCGCUGCAGAAAAUGUAUACAAUAAGAAGCAAUGAGGUUGGGUUAAAGCAGUUGCAUUGAAACUUAAAAGAUUUUCUCGAAUAACUUAAGUGACUGCUAAGGAAAUCAAGAAAGUAAUUACUUCCACUUCGGAGCAACAUAAUUAGCUGUUGCAAUAACUGGAAUAGGAAGAAAUGCUUAGGUUAUUGAAGAGCAUUAAGAGGAAUCUUACAAGAGGUAGCCAAGAAAAAAGAUUAAGCACAGGGAUUAUAAUAAGAAGCCAUGAGGUUGGGCUAAAGCAGUUGCAUUGAAACUAAAAGAUUUUCUCGAAUAACUUAAGUGACUGCUAAAUAAAUCAAGAAAGUAAUACUUCCACUUCGGAGCAACAUAAUUAGCUGUUGCAAUAACUGGAACAGAAAGAAAUGCUUAGGUAAUUGAAGAGCAUUAAGAGGAAUCUUACAAGAGGUAGCCAAGAGGAAAAAUUAAGCACAGGGAUUAAGGGUCAUUAUGGAGGACGGGAUGGACUUCUAAUGUAGUAAAGUCAACCCAAUACAACUAGCAAUAUAUUGAUACCAGAGUAUGUUAGAAAGUAUCAAAAAAGAAAGCUUUUACAUCACAAAAAAGUUCUGAGUUUCCAAUCCGGUAUGUAAGAUAUACCUGCUGGCAUUAUGGUAGUCGCCCCAACAGGUCCUAGUGAUGUCAUAAUCUUUGGAGUUUCCACUGAAAUGUUUGCAGUUUUAGAUAUCU